rnacentral:rRNA from 1 species
AACGAACGCUGGCGGCAGGCCUAACACAUGCAAGUCGAGCGAGGACUUCGGUCCUAGCGGCGGACGGGGGGGGAACGCGUGGGAACGUGCCCUUUGCUUCGGAAUAGCCCUGGGAAACUGGGAGUAAUACCGGAUGAGCCCUUUGGGGGAAAGAUUUAUCGGCGAAGGAUCGGCCCGCGUUGGAUUAGGUAGUUGGUGGGGUAAUGGCCUACCAAGCCGACGAUCCAUAGCUGGUUUGAGAGGAUGAUCAGCCACACUGGGACUGAGACACGGCCCAGACUCCUACGGGAGGCAGCAGUGGGGAAUCUUAGACGAUGGGGGAAACCCUGAUCUAGCCAUGCCGCGUGAGCGAUGAAGGCCUUAGGGUUGUAAAGCUCUUUCAGCUGGGAAGAUAAUGACGGUACCAGCAGAAGAAGCCCCGGCUAACUCCGUG